GAGCACAACCCCAGUCCCCGCCGGCCCGGCGCACCCGGUGGCAGGCGGCGCCAGCAGCUCCUCCCAGUCGGCGUCCCGGGCGCCGAGACCAGACCGGGUGAGAUGGAGACUCUGGGCCAGGGCUCCGCACGCGGCAUCCCAGGAAGAGGCCAGCGUCGGGCGGCGGUCUUAGCAGACUCAAAGGGGUGCCUCAGACCUGAUGGAUGGAGCUGGAAGUCCAGGCUCCCCACCUGGCCUCCACCUGACUUGGGGGUGCAGGGGGGCCCUCCUUGCUGCCUGGAGGUUUCCUGUAAUGCUUUGAAGAUCUGGGAAACAGACUAAGUGCGUGGUAGCUCACAGAGCAGUCCUGAGGGGUUGUUGUGAUUGUCGUUCAGGCUCUCAUUUGCAAGCUUAACCCAAACUCAACAAAGCCAAGGCCCAAUUUGUUCCCUUUGAAACAGACAA